GGACACAACCCAAUGCCUUUAUUUUUAUGUGGUGCUGAGGAUCGAACCUGGGUCCCGCCUGUGCUAGGCGAGUGCUCUACCGCUGAGCCACAAUCCCAACCCCUUUUUGCUUUUUUUGAUUAUUUAUUUGUUUAUUGACUGUCUUCCCCUCUGCAGAGGAUGCAAGUCCCAUUAGGUCAGGGACCCUUGUCUUUACUUGUGUGUCCUGGCCCCACACCGAUGCUCAAUUAAGCUUUUCUGAGUAAAUGGUAAAAUGGUGGAAUGAGGCUAUGAAACCAGGUGACUUUUCUCCAGGCGCUCUUAACUAAAUCAGGAGGCAGUGUUGUGUUGUUCAGGGAUUAUCUCCAUGACCGCUGCUUUCUACUAUUACCCAAGCCUGAAUGAAGGCUCAGCCUCGCACACCUGUGAGGUCACUUAGCAGGCAUCUUACCGUAGUUACUUGGCUUCCUUAUCUCUCUCUUCCAAGGACAGAUUUUACUCUUGUAUUCCCCAAGUCACCUCUGCCUGCCUCACUGAGCCAUUGUUCUGACAACAGUAACAUCCCAACACUUUCCUCUAUAAAAAGCACCAGCAAAGGCAGCAGUGGACCCAAGGGCCCAGGGAAGGGUUCCGGUAGGAUCCACUCCUGGAGAGGCUGUCCCCAUAUCAGUCUGAGCUUGGGUCAGCUGCCUUCCUGCUGUCCCACCUGUAGACACAGAGUGGAACCAAACCACAUGCCUUCCCACUUCUUCACCUCACAUCGCUUUGUAACUCUGUGGCUGCGAACUUCUCAACUGUCCUGUCAAGUUUCAUGAUAAAAUUGUACUUCUAGAAAGCAGAUCCCACCUGUGCUCUGGCUAAUUUCUUCUUUGGCUUUGUACAAAAGGUGCUAUGUUUCUGGCUUUCCUCAGGCCCCAAGCACUGUAUGUGUGCAUGUGUUUAAACAAGUUUAGAUCCCAUACAUUUCAUUCAUUUUAAGCACACAAUGAAAUGGACUUUAAAAAUUUCACCCAGUUGUGCAGCCAACACCACAAUCCAGUUUCAAAAUCAAUCCCAUCACCCCAGGAAGGUCCCUCAUACUCAUUUACAGUCAGUCCCCACCUUACCUUAUUCCAGGCAUCCACUAAUCUACUUUGUCUCUACAGAUUCACUUAUUUUGGACAUUUAAUAUCAACGGAAUCAUUCCACAAGUCUGACUUUUUCUACUUAGCAUAAUGCUUCUGAGUUUCAUCCAUGCUGAAGUGUGUACAAUAUUUUGUUCUUUUUUUAUACAGUAUCCCGGGUGUGUGGUUAUAAAUGGGAUUAAAUGAACAGUUCUGGUCAAUGGGUCCUAUGCAACUCUAGGUGUCUCCUGGAGAAGUCCUAGACCCUGGUCACAGGGCUCCCUCAGCUCUCUGAGGAACCUUUCUGCAAUUCUGUCUUGGUAGGAGGCCAAGUCUUUUGUAGUGGGCAUCAAGGUACCUUAAAGAUCCGAUGUCCUCAAAUCAAUGUCCUUUAGAGGUCCUGGGUCUCCUUAUUAGACUGAAAGCUCUUGGCAGGGAGAAACUGGGUUUUCAAUUGCUCCUGUCUUUUCUCAGUCUCCCAAGAGCAGUGCUGAGAAGAAAGCAAGUGUUUGAUAGAUGUGUGUGUGUGUGAAGCAGAGACACAGUGGAGGGACUGCAGAUAGUCCCUCCACUCCCUCUCCAUUCCUUCAGCCUCACUGCCUGGUGCCAGCUGUGCACUUUAGGGCUGCAGUACUGCACAGGUGUACAAGAAGAGGGUGGCUGUGCCACCUCCUCAGGGGCUGUGUGUCACGAGCCAUUCGUGGAUUGCAUGUGGGUCACUGAGCAUGGAAGCCUCGUGGAUAGAGACAUUUGGUGUCUGGGAAUAACCAAAGGACAUUUCCUCUGGUCAAUUGCCCAGGGAAAAUGUGAAUCUUUCCCGCUCUGCAGUGGCCCAGCCCACACAGCACCUAAGAUGGUAUGACCUGCAGAGAUGUCAAGCAACUUGCUGACUUCAAGACAUCAGGAAGCAAGACUCUGCCCUUGAAACCUUGUCCCUGCCUUUGAGAACAGAAGAUCUGGCAAUCGGGUUUCAUGUGUGGAAGGACAAGCACCCUCUAGCUCCGACUAGGUGAGCGUUCUUCACCCAUGCUCCUUCACACUGCCAGCCUGGCUCUGAGGCUCUUGAAACCAAGUCCCUUUAAAAUAUGAUGCCCAGCAAGGAUCAUUCCUGGAAUGCACAAAGGUUAAGUAAAGCAGGAGGUAUAAACCAACAACAGCAAAGAGAAUUGUAGAAGAAACCACCAUAUAUUCAGAUGUUGGCAAUACCUUUUUUUUUUAAAUGUAAAAUCAGUAGAGAAGAGGAAACUGCCAUUAGAGAAAGGUGGAGAUCCUGUAUGGGAGACUGAGGAAGAAGUAAAAUGACUGCCACCAUGGAAGGCCCAGACUUGGGAACACUAGUACCUCCUACAGCAAUGGAAGAAGCCAGAAGACAGUUGAACAUCUGUAACAGAAAAGACUAUCGUGGCCCACGGAAGCACCACAAGGAAAGGAGACUGCAGUGUUCUCAUCUUUCCAAAAACCCCAAAGCAGUAUUACCAUCUGCUUGAGGUUCAGAUAGAGCCUCUUCCCCCUGCUCUCAUCUCACGCACCCUGCAUAUAACACGAGUUGGAGGAGCGAGUGCUCGCUGUGCAUCAGGCCAGGAGUCUCUCUGUCCCUGCUACUCAACUCUGCCAUUGUUGCUUGAAAGCAGCCAUCAACAAAAGGUAAAUGAAUGAACUUGACUGUGUUCCAAGA